rnacentral:rRNA from 1 species
GAUGAACGCUCGCGGGAGGCCUAACACAUGCAAGCCGAGCGGUAUGGAUAGCUUGCUAUCCAGAGAGCGGCGUACGGGUGCGUAACACGUGUGCAACCUACCUUUAUCUGGGGGAUAGCCUUUCGAAAGGAAGAUUAAUACCCCAUAAUAUAAUGAUUGGCAUCAAUUAUUAUUGAAAACUCCGGUGGAUAGAGAUGGGCACGCGCAAGAUUAGAUAGUUGGUGAGGUAACGGCUCACCAAGUCAAUGAUCUUUAGGGGUCCUGAGAGGGAGAUCCCCCACACUGGUACUGAGACACGGACCAGACUCCUACGGGAGGCAGCAGUGAGGAAUAUUGGACAAUGGGUGAGAGCCUGAUCCAGCCAUCCCGCGUGAAGGAUGACGGUCCUAUGGAUUGUAAACUUCUUUUGUACAGGGAUAAACCUACCCUCGGGAGGGUAGCUGAAGGUACUGUACGAAUAAGCACCGGCUAACUCCGUG